AUGAACGCUGGCGGCGUGCCUAAUACAUGCAAGUCGAGCGAACAGAUGAGGAGCUUGCUCCUCUGACGUUAGCGGCGGACGGGUGAGUAACACGUGGAUAACCUACCUAUAAGACUGGGAUAACUUCGGGAAACCGGAGCUAAUACCGGAUAAUAUAUUGAACCGCAUGGUUCAAUAGUGAAAGACGGUUUUGCUGUCACUUAUAAAUGGAUCCGCGCCGCAUUAGCUAGUUGGUAAGGUAACGGCUUACCAAGGCAACGAUGCGUAGCCGACCUGAGAGGGUGAUCGGCCACACUGGAACUGAGACACGGUCCAGACUCCUACGGGAGGCAGCAGUAGGGAAUCUUCCGCAAUGGGCGAAAGCUUGACGGAGCAACGCCGCGUGAGUGAUGAAGGUCUUCGGAUCGUAAAACUCUGUUAUUAGGGAAGAACAAAUGUGUAAGUAACUAUGCACGUCUUGACGGUACCUAAUCAGAAAGCCACGGCUAACUACGUG
rnacentral:rRNA from 1 species